CCUACGGGAGGCUGCAGUGAGGAAUAUUGGUCAAUGGUCGGGAGACUGAACCAGCCAAGCCGCGUGAGGGAUGAAGGUACAGAGUAUCGUAAACCUCUUUUGUCAGGGAACAAAGGCGGGGACGUGUCCCCGGAUGAGUGUACCUGAAGAAAAAGCAUCGGCUAACUCCGUGCCAGCAGCCGCGGUAAUACGGGGGAUGCGAGCGGUAUCCGGAUUUAUUGGGUUUAAAGGGGGCGCAGUCGGUCUGUUAAGUCAGCGGUAAAAGCCCGGGGCUCAACCCCGGCCCGCCGUUGAAACGGGCAGUCUCGAGUUGGAGAGAAGUAUGCGGAAUGUGCGGUGUAGCGGUGAAAUGCAUAGAUAUCGCGCAGAACUCCGAUUGCGAAGGCAGCAUGCCGGCUCCACACUGACGCUGAGGCACGAAAGCGUGGGUAUCGAACAGGAUUAGAUACCCGGGUAGUC
rnacentral:rRNA from 1 species